AUACUGUGCAUUGGUCCAUAUUGUCAUUAAUGAAGCAGUGAUUACAGUAAGAUAGUCACAGCGGAACGCACAGGGCACACGAUCCAAGGGGCACCAUCGGGGGCCACUCCCCAAAGGUCGUCUAGAGGUGCUGAAGUUCCCCGAGAUAAAGCAGGAAAACAGAAACGGAAAGAGCAGUCCAGUCCUGAAGGGAUUAUGGUGAGAUCACGAUCAUGGAUCCUGGGGCUGGAAGAAAUCUUACUGUUCAUCUAGAUUCUAGUCCCUUAUUUGAAGGCGAGGAGACAGGCAGAAGCACAAUGGUUGGCUUUUGUUAAACACCGAAAAGAUUCUACUCCUCUGGAAGUUUGUGGUUCCUCAAAAUUUCAGGGAGGAGCCUCCCACAGUGGCAGACCGUGCAGCACCC
rnacentral:lncRNA from 1 species